rnacentral:tRNA from 1 species
GCCUGGGUGGCUCAGUCGGUUGAGCAUCCGACUUCGGCUCAGGUCAUGAUCUCACGGUUCGUGGGUUCGAGCCCCGCGUUGGGCU